UGAUACUGAGUCUGGCUUCAGCAUUAACUGUCAUGGUAGAGUGAGAUCUGCAAAGGUAUCCUAUGUCGUGUCCACUGAGUCUGCAGCUGCUAGGCGAAUCCUGUCAUGUCGCCCCAGCCAAGGCCCCAACCCGAGCUGCGAACCUGGUAAGCAUCCUCUCCAUCUGCUUAUCAUGCAUCUUGCAUCCAGAUUACAGGUUAUCCGUGCCCCCCUUCUGCUGCGCUGACACGCCUAGAAGGUGGCGGGAGCCCAAGCUGCCCAAACUUUGCGGAUUACAUGGUGUGACCCCCCUGGGACGGUUGGCAACGCACCCAUUCAACAGUGCCAUUGCACUAGCGGGGCUUCGCAAGGCGGGAGCAGGCGGGAACAUAUCUGGGGUGUCGCAGGGCGGAGCGCGAGGGUCCUCGGCACAGUCUGACAGCCGCCACAUGUCGCCGCGGAUGACAGCCUGGGCUGUCAUCCGCGGACAGACUGAGAGCGGGGCGGGGGUCGGUGCAGCCGACGACAGGCUGGCAGCUGGAGCUUGCGUGCAAUGGACCAGGCGAAGGCGGCAGGAGCUUGCGUGUUGGAAGGGUAUCCCUGAGACCUGAGGUAUGGCGGGAGGAGCGUCCUAUGGGAGCAAGCCUACUAGAGCUAGAGUAGGCCGACGGCGUUGCAGGCGGCAUCGUCCAGAUACGGCCCAGAGCGUGGAGACACCGUAUGGCCACUGAGUCCCUGAAUCCCGUCAGCGGUGAGGUGCAUGAAGCCGAGACGCUGAACGGGGACGACCAAUGAUGUUCAGCUGCUAGAGCUGGCUGCUGCUGCGGGCGAGGUGCAGGCUAACGCAGGCUUAACGGACAGAGGCGGCUCACAUGGCUUGUGGGUAAGAGUUAACACAGAGUGAUUGUCAGUCUGUUGGCUUACGCCUUUGGUAACUCAACCAGCGAGCCAGGUCGCUGUUGAGUACCAUAUAGGCUAGGCGAGGCCCAUGCGGCUCAUCCGCCGGGGAUGGCGAACCACACGGUGACACCUCAGCACACACGGCAUGCCGGACCGGGGGUCCUAGGAGGUUGCGCCGAACCACGUACGCGUUGGCACCCGACAGCUGUCAUGCGCUACAACCGAACCGGUAAUCCUCCGCCACCGGGCACACAGUUCCCCCCCACGACUGUAGGAGACGAGGAGAAGAGUCUGCGAAGUCGUAACCCCCAAGCACGGUGGCGACAAGUGCGUGCCCCCCCUGAAUGCAAACAGGGGAACCAAAAGCAAGAGACAGCACACAUAUCAUGCGGAAUGACAUGCGAGAGUGUUCGUGCCACGCGACAGACACAAACUGUAACCAAACUAGCAUAGCACACGCGUCACUAGUCAGGUCAGUCCUCCACGCUAGCCACUGCGAGCUAGCUCCAAGCGGAUGGCUGAUGAGAACACGCUGUGAAGCGAGCAGCGGCACGCUGCUUGCAACUGCAAUCCAGCAAUGACACCCGAGAUACAGGGUAUCGGGCACACGAGCGGCGGUGCAUGCCCCGCCCUGCAGGCGCCAGUCGGGCCAUGCCGCAGCGGCCACCAAGUCGGCCCCCCAGGAUGCGCACUGGGGUCGUCCUGCUAAGGCUCUGGCUAGCGCGAUGCGAGCUCCACGUGGGUGGUGGUGCGCCGGGGCACAGAGUAGAGGAAGCCGAUGGGGACGAGGUACGCUGAGGCUUAAGGCUGGCUGACCCGGGGUGAAACAACCGAGAAGAGAAGUAGCAGGUGACUGUCCAGGAAGACGAAGAAGUUGCUGUUGGCGGCGAUAAGCGCGGCCAGUAGCAGUGUCGGCGGUACUGCUGGGUGCAGUGGCGCUGGCGGCGCUGUGAGGGAAGCAGCGCGGCUAGGCGGGAUGGGAGAAGUCGGAGCAACUGCUGACGCGGGGCUGCGACGCGUGCCGAAGUCGGCCAUGCAGGAACCGAGUGACACGGCCGCUCCCGAAGGCCAAAUUGCUGAUAUAUGAAAGAGCCUGAAAUGCGUGUCCGUUACAGGAGUCCAGAAGAGCGGAAGGCGAGGAGCGAAUGCAUCCAAUUUCCGAUUGACGGCUGGGCGUCAGGCGCGCAGAGCGCCGGCAAAUAGAGCUACGUUGGGAUGCCGUAGUGUAUAACGUGCUGAGAGGCAACUGAGACCCAGAUGUAACGCGGCGGAAAGACAUCGCCGGUCAGAAGCGCAGCAGCGGCGCAAGAGUUCAGUCCUCAGCUACGCUGCCUCAGAAGGGUUGAGUUACAUCGUCCAGAUACGGCCCAGAGCGUGGAGACACCGUAUGGCCACUGAGUCCCUGAAUCCCGUCAGCGGUGAGGUGCAUGAAGCCGAGACGCUGAACGGG
rnacentral:lncRNA from 1 species